CCCCUCGGCGCGUACCGUGAGUGCGCGCCAUGGCGGGCCUGCUUCAAAGUCCAGGGGCCGCGCCAGGUACAAGCGCCCUGAGGCCGCAUCCAGGGCGAAGGUGCCCUCGGGGUCGGCACCCCCUACCAAUGUGUAGGGUCAUGAUAUGCUGCAAGAGGAAGCUGGAGAGCUCCCCUUUCUCAGCCAGAAAAUGUGCUCAGAGAGAAAGCUGGCCAAGGAGUUCUGAUUGUUGCCCAGACCCUUGACAGAAAUGAUCUGUGCCAUCGUUUACUCUCCGGAGAGACACCAAGACCCUGCCAUGGCUGAACCCUGGAAACAGCUCCUGCUCCAACUCUCUACUGUGGCUGUGCACCCGGAUAUCCCAGGAGACGGACUUCCCCUGCAUCAAUCAUGGCAGGCAGCAGCACAGCUGCUGGCACCAUCUCCAGAAGCUGUUAAAGACCUUUGCCCUCUGACUUGCUGCAGGAAGAAAGCAAUAAACAGUGGUCGGGGGAAGUUGUCAGGAAGUGACCCCAAAAGGCACAGGGGCCACUGACUGGAAAUGGGCAAGGCAGAAGUGAAUUUCCUGGCCUGUACAACCCCUGCUCAGAGGUUUCACUGCAAAUAUAGUCUCCAUUUUUAGCAGAUUCUCAGCUUAAUGUCUUAGUCCAACCUUGGUCAGCUCCCUCUCCCAUUCUGUCCCAAAGCCAUAAGAAACUUUACCCCUCUCCUCUUGCCCCCAUCCCAAUCCUUGCUCUCAGAUGCACUAUUUCAAGGAGGAAAGAAAAACGCUUAUCUGUGAACUCUCUAAACUUCCUACCAGCCUCCAAGCUGACUCCAUAUGCCCAUCCCAAUCCCCUUCCCAGGUGUACCUCCUGCUUUGAUUUUUUAAAACACAAUUUAUUUAUUUAAUUUUAUUUUUCAGACAGGCUCUCUGUUGCCCCAUCUUGAGUGCAGUGGUGUGAUUCUAGCUCAUUGCAACUUCGAAUUCCUGGGCUCAGGCAAUCCUCCUGCCUCAGCCUUCUGAGUAGCUUGGAUGACAGGGAUGCACCACCAUGCCCAUUUCUCCUGCUAAGACUUCUCAAUGCUAUUUUUCCUGCUUCUCCACCCACUGCUUCUCCCACCACCCACUACCAGUCUUCCUCCAUCUCCCCUUACCUGCCUGUUCUUACACACUGUUCCCUGGAAUCUCUCCUUGGCUUCUUCUCACUCUACAUACUCUCUCAGGGCCUUGUCUUUCGCUUUAGCCACUGUCUAUACUUUACUUUAGACUAAUCCUCUGAGCUUUCCAAACAUGUACAUCCAGAUGGCUGCUCAACACCUCCACUUGGAUGUCCCACAGACACCCAAAAUCCAACCUGCCCCAAAAUAAACUCAUGAUCAUUCCAAGCCUGCCCUAAUGACUUUUUCAUCCACACAGUUGCUCAAGCCAGAAAUCAGUUCUUCCCUUUUUUUCACCGGUAUAUCAAUCAGCCACGGAUUAAGUAAGUCCUCAUUAACUCUAUUUUUCUGUUUCUCUCCAUCACCAUUAUCACCGUUUUGACUUAGGCUUGAGUUAUCCUGAGUUAUUGCUCCCCUGCAUUAUUUUAAUUACCUUCUUAUAGAAGUUUGACCCUCUGAUCUGUACUCUACAUGAGGGUUUCUCAACACUGGCACUACUGACAUUUUGGACCAGAUAAUGCUUUAUUGUGGGGGCUGUCAAGUGCAUUACAGAAUGGUUAGUAGCAUUCUCAGCCUUUACCCACUAGAUGCCAGUAGUAUUCCACCAGUUGUAACAAUCGGAGAUUUCUCUAGAUAUUGCUAAAUAUUCCCUUCUGGAGGGCAAAGUCACCUCUGGUUAUGAACCACUGCUCUACACUAUCAUUUGCAUAAACAAAUCUGAGAAUGUUGCUCCUCUACUCAAAAAUCUUCAAUAUUCCCUAUAGAAAAAAGCUCAAUCCCUCUGACUUGGCUGAGCCUCCCUGCAGUCUCAUCCCCCACCUCCCAUCUCCAGUCUUAACUCCAGAGAUUCUGAGCCCCUGGUAGGCCCUUGAACAAGCUGGGCCCUCCCACACCUCUGUGCCCCUAACCUCUGCUUGAAAGUCUUUUCCCUUCUGAUACUCUCAUAAACCGCUCGUUCUUUAAGUCUCAACUCAUGGGUCCCUUCCUUCAGGAAAGCAUUCAUACUGCCUAUCUGUACCUCAUAUAUAUCCCCAAAUGGAAAUGUUCUUAUUGGAAUGAAACUAUUUCUUUGUACAUGAAUCUCCCCUCUAAAUCCUUCAGAUGACAGAGGUGACUCAUUCCUGACCUUAUGCUAUGUCUCUAAUACAGUGGCUGGCACAUGGUAGGCAUUCAAUACAUUUAUACUGAAUAGAUCAAACAUUAAGUCUUCUUGUAACAGUUAUAAACUCCAAAUGGUCAUUUUUACCCCUGAUUCCCUAUGGUUACUAAUAGUAAAAACUCCAGGAAACCACCUGGAGAGUUGCCCUCUUGCUUCAGGCACUAGCGAGGAGAGAAGUCUGGAAGCCAUCGCCCAUUGGUCCUGGCCAAGAAGGAGAGUAAACACAUGGAAGAGUGGGUGGUGGGAGCUGCAGAGCAGCAGGCGAGCAAACAUGCAGAGUCUGGCCAGAGGACAAGAGGUCAGCCAGGCCCAGAACUAGCCUGGAAGUCUAUGCCGACAGGCAGCCCCUGAGGAGAUGCUCAGGAGUCUGGUGGCAUUUGGAGACAUAAGGACGCCAAGCAUCGGCCUCCUAAGAGGACUCCCUGCCUCCUGUCCUCUCUCCUGUUGCCAUACUCCACAGUGCAAGCAAAGCAAUCUUUCCAAAAGAUGUAUCAGAUUUGCUUAGAGUCCUUCACUUGUUCCCUAUGAUUUUUAAGAUAAAGCUGAACCUGUGACCUGG